GACGGAGGGGGCAAGCGUUGUCCGGAAUCACUGGGCGUAAAGCGCACGUAGGCGGGACGGUGCGUCGGUGCUGAAAGCGCCAGGCUUAACCUGGCGAGGCGUGCCGAUACGACCGACCUCGAGGCAGACAGAGGGUGGCGGAAUUCCGGGUGUAGUGGUGAAAUGCGUAGAGAUCCGGAGGAACACCAGAGGCGAAGGCGGCCUACUGGGUCAGUACUGACGCUGAGCCGCGAAAGCCAGGGGAGCGAACGGG
rnacentral:rRNA from 1 species